GCAUUCUUGGUUCAGUGGUAGAACGCCCACCUGUCAUGCGGGCAACCCGGGCUCGAUUCCCGGCCAGUGUA
rnacentral:tRNA from 1 species